AGAGUACAGAUAUUCAUUGAGAAUGAGAGUACUGAGCGUGACCACCUCGAGCAGUCAUAAAAAAGUCAACCUUUUCAUCGAUGACUAGCUUGAUGCUGCAGCUGUGCGUCUAGUUCUUUGACCUGAGGUGCAUCGACAGUUCACCUUGAGUGUGUUAUAGUUUGACUACAUCAUAACUCAGUCUCCUAGUUAUUCAAAAUCCUGAGGUGUAUGUUGGCUGUAGCAUAUUCAUUGUAGGAACCAGAUUGCACCAA
rnacentral:lncRNA from 1 species